AGGAAGACUGCCCUAUGGGUUGUAAACUGCUUUUAUAGAGGAAGAAACCCCCCGACGUGUCGGGUCUGACGGUACUCUACGAAUAAGGAUCGGCUAACUCCGUGCCAGCAGCCGCGGUAAUACGGAGGAUCCAAGCGUUAUCCGGAAUCAUUGGGUUUAAAGGGUCCGUAGCGGAUUUGUAAGUCAGUGGUGAAAGUUUGCGGCUCAACCGUAAAAUUGCCAUUGAUACUGCAAGUCUUGAAUCAUUGUGAAGUGGUUAGAAUAUGUAGUGUAGCGGUGAAAUGCAUAGAUAUUACAUAGAAUACCGAUUGCGAAGGAGAUCACUAACAAUGUAUUGACGCUAAGGGACGAAAGCGUGGGUAGCGAACAGGAUUAGAUACCCUGGUAGUCCACGCCGUAAACGAUGG
rnacentral:rRNA from 1 species